UACGUAGGGUGCAAGCGUUAAUCGGAAUUACUGGGCGUAAAGCGUGCGCAGGCGGUUAUGUUAGACAGGUGUGAAAUCCCCGGGCUUAACCUGGGAACUGCAUUUGUGACUGCAUAGCUAGAGUACGGUAGAGGGGGAUGGAAUUCCGCGUGUAGCAGUGAAAUGCGUAGAUAUGCGGAGGAACACCGAUGGCGAAGGCAAUCCCCUGGACCUGUACUGACGCUCAUGCACGAAAGCGUGGGGAGCAAACAGG
rnacentral:rRNA from 1 species